UGCGUAGGCGGGGCAAUUAGUCAGUGGUGAAAUCCUGCGGCUUAACCGUAGAACUGCCAUUGAAACUGUUGCCCUUGAGUAUAGUUGAGGUGGGCGGAAUGUGUAAUGUAGCGGUGAAAUGCAUAGAGAUUACACAGAACACCAAUUGCGAAGGCAGCUCACUAAGCUAUAACUGACGCUGAGGCACGAAAGCGUGGGGAGCGAACAGGAUUAGAUACCCUGGUAGUCC
rnacentral:rRNA from 1 species